AAGUUGAAUUGGCAACAGGAGGGAGGCUGGUGCAGGACUUCCCUGGUGGCACAGAGGAUAAGAACCCGCCUGCCAAUGCAGGAGACACAGGUACAAUUCCUGGUCCAGGAAGAUCCCACGUACCUCAGAGCAACUAAGCCCACGGACCACCACUGGGGACCCUGCGCUCUAGGACCCAUGAGCCACAACGAAUGAGCCUCUGUGCCCCCAGGCUCCAACAGUACCUGAACCGUGAACUUCCAGAUGUUCAGGCUGGAUUUAGAAAGGGCAGAGAAACCAGAGAUCAAAUGGCCAACAUCUGUUGGAUCAUAAAAAAAGCAAGAGUUCCAGAAAAACAUCUAUUUCUGCUUUAUUGACUACGCCAAAGCCUUUGACUGUGUGAAUCACAAAAAACCGUGGAAAAUUCUGAAAGAGAUGGGAAUACCAGACCACCUUACCUGCCUCCUGAGAAAUCUGUAUGCAGGUCAAGAAGCAACAGUUAGAACUGGACAUGGAAAAAGAGACUAUUUUCAAAUCAGGAAAGGAUGGUCCAGUGAUGAAGAAUCGCCUGUCGGUGCAGGGGACGUAGACUCAAUCCCUGGUCCAGGAAGAUUCCAGAAGCUAUGGAGCAACUACAUCCAUAGGCCACAACUGCUGAAGCCCAUGUGCCCUAGAACCAGUGUUCCACAAGAAGGGAAGCCAGCACAAUGAGAAGCCCAUGUACCUCAACUAGAGAGUAGCCCCUGCUCACCACAACUGGAGAAAGCCUACGUGCAGCAACGAAGACAC
ensembl:lncRNA